CCUCAGGCGGUCUGAUCCGGUGGACAGCCCGGCUCGCUGCCUGGAUUUGCCUUCUAGCGUCUCUGGCUGUGGUGAAAAAGGAAAUUCUCUCAGACGACAAGCACUGGUCACUUCCGAGGACUUCUGGAAAACGUGCUUCAGCUUCUGAGCAGCUGUGGUGUGGCUGUCUGUCUUAAGUCAGAUCUGCACGCUGGCUUCUGGGUGGAAUUUGGAUUUUUGCCUGCUUGGCCUUGCUUCAUUUCGGACAGUUCCUGACUCGGGAACUAGGCCCACCCUCCCUGCCAAGUAUUUGCCUCGUGUCUGCCUGGAGGAGGCGUGGGGGUGGAUGGCCCUUUGUGUGGACCACACGAAGCUUCCAGUCUACUCCAGGAACACAGGAGGAAGAUGGAGGGCCAGGAACCUCUCAUCGUGGAGCCAUUGCUUUGAAUCUCACUCAAGAGAUGAGGCUGAUGACGUGAGAUGUCCUUGGAGAUCGCUGUCCCCAAGGCAUGCAGUGGAGAGGGGGCCCGGACUUGUCCAGCCGGCAGGUAGGCCCAUGCCAGGACCUACCUGCUCAGAGGGCGUGACCACGAGCUCUGCUCCUCUACUGGCCAAGCCUGGCAGCAAUGCCCAUGAGCACCCUUUCCACGGAACGUGGAACAGUUAAGACGCUGGCUCACGAGGAAGCAUUAUGAGCACAGGCUUGCAACUGUGCAUCUCAUCUUCAUUCAGAAUCCACGGGAACAGCGCCCACCAAGACCAGCGCACGGGACCUUGGGGGCCGAUGUUUACUCAGUGGGAAAAAUGUGGAACUUCCUUAUCUGGUCCCCUGUCCUGAGGCCGAGGAGACGCGCCCCGCCCGCCAGGGGCAGCCCCAGCUCUAUCGAUUAGUGACUCAGGCUUUACAGGGGAGGGCGUGAUUCUGCAGGCUGCGAACGUGUGCUCUGCUGCAAACAGCCCGCCUCAGCCCUGCGUACACAUCCCACUGCACACGCGCCCACGACGGCUCUCCUCACGGCCUCGUCUUCAUCCUGAACGUGAUUUCAGGGGUACAGGCUCAUGGACUGUUGAGUUCUGUUCACAGUUUAGAAAAGUGAAAUGCAAACUUCCACUUGCAAAUGAACUGAGGUUUAGCGCGCUGAUAAAUAGCACGGGUCCGCCGCCCUGCCUUUCUGGAAAGCCACCACCCACGCGGAUUCAGGCUGUGCAAAGCUGGCCCAGGGCUGCGAGAUGCUGCUCCUCAGGGCUGACCCCUAUCCUGACGGGUGGCUGUCCCUUCAAGGGUCCCUGUUCGGACGGCAGGGACCCCUGAGUCUAUGGCCUCUGGCCUCCCCCAUGGCUCUGCAUGAGCUUGACUUAGCAGGUGCAAGAAAACCCACAGACCAGUGAGAUGGCCCCAGGCCCACCUUCUGAAUCCCCCCGCCUGGACGCUUAGGGUCUCUCUGCCUCAGGGUCCCGUCUGGGAAGAGGGCCGCCGGCCCCUGCCCCUUGGGUCCUGCCCCUCCACCGCCCCCCACCCUCACAUGGGCCUCCUCAAUCUCAUGGGUCUGUGUCUCCACGUGCCUGCCUCACUGAGUUUUUGAUGUGCU